GGGAAACAAACAAACCAAGCAGCCAGAUGUAUGUGCAAGAGAAUCCAGCUGAAGGAACACAGAAGUCAGGCUGUGUUGGCAAUUUGGAGGAAGGCCAGAUUACUCUGGAAAGACUUUCUGGAAAGAAGGACUGAAUGUUCAAAACAGAUUAGCACCCUGACAGACUGAGAAUGAGUUUGAAGAUCUCUGUGGCCAGAGACUAUAAGGAUUAUAUUAUCCCUUGCUUUUCUCUGUAAAGCAAGAGCCCAGAUGCGCUGAGUUCCAGGGGUGAGCUGGCCAGGCACAUGGCCCAGCCUCAACUCUAUUUUUACUUCACAGAAAGAGGUGGGUGUUUUACCACUGUACCGCCUGGAAGACCCGUAGUAGCUUCGGUGCUUUUCCUCAGAUGUUUCUUUCAAGGAUCCCUGAAUAUAAAAGGUCCAUAAAUUUGAGGUCAACAUACAUGUGAGGAUUGUGGGAGCAGAAAUUAACUCUAGAAGGCACUCAGACUGAUACUGGACCCCAAAACACUAGAGAUCAUUUGGAGGGGCUCUUUGUGAGAGUACAGAAGGUUUGUGUUACUCAAGAAAAAUUUAAUCCUGAGAAAAAGCCAUUAAAGUCAAUCUAUCACAACAGGUACUGUCAUAGCAAAUAAUUUAAAGUUUGUUUGCAACCUUAUCUUGAAAUCUGAUAGGAAAAUAAGAAGUCUGUUUUAAACUUAACAAAUUGAGUUAUAAUUGCAAAUGCACACUAAAUUCUUUUGUUUUCUUUUCUUCUUUUUUUUUUUUUUUUGCCACACCACACAGUUUGUGGGAUCUCAGUUCCCCCAGUAGAAGCCCAGAAUCCUAACCACUGUGCCACCAGGGAACUCCCUA
ensembl:lncRNA